rnacentral:rRNA from 1 species
GACGGAGGAGGCAAGCGUUGUCCGGAAUUAUUGGGCGUAAAGAGCGCGUAGGCUGUUUUCCAAGUCUUGUGUGAAAACCUCAGGCUCAACUUGAGGAUUGCAUAGGAUACUGGUUAACUUGAGUGCAGUAGAGGAAAGUGGAAUUCCUGGUGUAGCGGUAAAAUGCGCAGAUAUCAGGAAGAACACCAGUGGCGAAGGCGGCUUUCUGGGCUGCUACUGACGCUGAGGCGCGAAAGCUAGGGGAG